GAAGAGAUUUUAUUUAGAAGGGUGCGAAUAGUCCCGCCACUCGUAGAAUUAUUUUCUUAUUUUUUCACCAAAUUGUUGGCAUUAGCGUUGGAGUGGAAUCCCCUUGUCAUAGAAGGCGACAGCCCCACACCCACCCCUUCUCCUUCGGUUCGAAGGAGAUGCUAUUUUUCAAUUUGUGGAUAUGCUUUCCAAAAUUAGGACCCGAAAAGAAAACUUGAAAGCCCAAUUCAAAACUUGUGCAAGAAGGACAUGUAAUUGACAUAUGCUGUUUCUUAUAUAUAUAUGUACAUAAGAGUCUGAACAUCAGCUGAGCCAGCGAUUGAUUGAAAAGCAAUUUUAAAUUUUCGGUCGGUAUUGCUUCCCUCAUCUUAUGGAUUUUCCUUCAAUUUAUUAUACAUUCACUUCAAUUGUGUUUCUGGGUGCUCGUUAUGUGUUUCUCUUUUAUGGUUUUGGUUGGCUUUUUUCUCUGUUUUUUUUUUUUUGAAGCUCUUAUUUUACUGCUUCCAAUGGUUAGUUUUGCUACUCUCUCCUGACAUAAAAUUAUUUGCUUGGAUAACUUAAUCUUUUGCUAUUUUGUUAUGUUCAUUUUAUAUAGAGCGAAUUCAUUGUAUCAAAUGUUAUCAUAAAUGAUGCUUGGGUAAUUUGAUUUAGCUUUUUUUUUUCCUUCUUUCAUAAUUUGCCUGUAGGUUAUCUUUAUUUUUUUUUUCUUUUUUCAAAUUUAUUUGAGUCU
rnacentral:lncRNA from 1 species